GUGCAGUUCAGAGGGAAGAACAAGUCCCUCAAAUUCAAUAUCCAUCUGUCACUUUGUCAGCUUUUUUUAAUUUUUUUUAAUUCAAUAAUUUGCUGGCCAUAUAAGAUGGUAAAGAA
rnacentral:snoRNA from 1 species